rnacentral:rRNA from 1 species
GAUGAACGCUGGCGGCAUGCCUAACACAUGCAAGUUGAACGAAGCACAUGAUGUAGCUUGCUAUGGAUUGUGACUUAGUGGCGAACGGGUGAGUAAUGCAUGAGCAACCUGCCCUUCAGUGGGGGACAACAGUUGGAAACGACUGCUAAUACCGCAUAACAUUGUCGGAAGGCAUCUUCUGAAAAUCAAAGAUUUAUUGCUGAAGGAUGGGCUCAUGUCUGAUUAGCUAGUUGGUGAGGUAACGGCUCACCAAGGCGACGAUCAGUAGCCGGUCUGAAAGGAUGAACGGCCACAUUGGGACUGAGAUACGGCCCAGACUCCUACGGGAGGCAGCAGUGGGGAAUAUUGGGCAAUGGGCGAAAGCCUGACCCAGCAAUGCCGCGUGAAGGAAGAAGGCCUUCGGGUUGUAAACUUCUUUUACCGAGGACGAAGAAAUGACGGUACUCGGCGAAUAAGCUCCGGCUAACUACGUGCCAGCAGCCGCGGUAACAC